CUUCCGCAAUGGACGAAAGUCUGACGGAGCAACGCCGCGUGAGUGAUGAAGGCUUUCGGGUCGUAAAACUCUGUUGUUAGGGAAGAACAAGUGCUAGUUGAAUAAGCUGGCACCUUGACGGUACCUAACCAGAAAGCCACGGCUAACUACGUGCCAGCAGCCGCGGUAAUACGUAGGUGGCAAGCGUUAUCCGGAAUUAUUGGGCGUAAAGCGCGCGCAGGUGGUUUCUUAAGUCUGAUGUGAAAGCCCACGGCUCAACCGUGGAGGGUCAUUGGAAACUGGGAGACUUGAGUGCAGAAGAGGAAAGUGGAAUUCCAUGUGUAGC
rnacentral:rRNA from 1 species